CAUCCUAGCCGGACGGGGUCAAUGGGCGAUCAAGACGGCCCAUGGCCUAGGUUGGUGACUUCCAUUGCACUUUGGAGGGGCGGCCACCUAAGGUCAACCCAAGUGGUUGAGCCUAAGACCCACUUUUUGUUAGUGGAGGCUUGUGUUAGCACGACCCCUAU
rfam:Capsicum annuum cultivar Zunla-1 unplaced genomic scaffold scaffold3822, whole genome shotgun sequence